UGGGGUCUCGCAAGGGGCCCUAGUGUAUUCCUGAGUCUGGCCAAACCUUGUAAGCGUACACUGCAACCAGUUAGACGAUCAGCAGUGGGCACAGUGGUUGGAGUCAGCCAGCAAUGGUCGGUUCCUUCUACGAAGCAAUUGUUUGUGUGGGUUAGUAGUAGUGCGGUUGUGCUUCGGUGCUUCUCGUGUUGCUGGGCCCAUGCAAGUGAACUACAGCUGAAUACUGACUGGCGAAAUGAAAAUCACCUUUUAGGUGUUAGAGACAAAGCAGCUAGCCAGACGUGGGCCUACACGGUCGACUGUUAGGUCUAAGCUUGGCGCUUUUGAAUUCAGACUUGCUUGCUACCAGUGGGGCAACUCCUGGUGCUUGUAUAGCUUCUGUCUAAUCGGGCGUCGACUUGGCUUGCAUUGUUCGGUCGUGCUACGAUAGGGUUUGCGUCUGAGUUGGUUUGCAAUGUGAAU
rnacentral:rRNA from 1 species